rnacentral:rRNA from 1 species
UACGAAGGGGGCUAGCGUUGUCCGGAUUUAUUGGGCGUAAAGAGCGUGUAGGCGGCUUGACAAGUCUGCUGUGAAAACUUGAGGCUCAACCUCAAGCUGUCGGCGGAAACUGUCAGGCUAGAGUCCGGAAGAGGAGAGUGGAAUUCCUGGUGUAGCGGUGAAAUGCGCAGAUAUCAGGAAGAACACCUAUGGCGAAGGCAGCUCUCUGGGACGGUACUGACGCUGAGACGCGAAAGCGUGGGGAGCGAACAGG